GUUUGUAUAGUUUAUUUAAAAUAUAGGCUUGUGGUGCCUAAGAAGAGGUUACUCUGUAAACA
rnacentral:tRNA from 1 species